ACGCCUCGUCUUCUCGCAGUGGUUGCAGAUCAGCCGAUGCAUCCGAUGUUGCCCCUGUGUAUUUCCAAGCGAUGUGCAUUUCGUUGUCCUUGCUGGCGCCCUCGAAUUUCCAUGACGAAAAGCCGGCGCCGCGGACCAUUCCAAAUGCCUGAAAAAGCUGCAGAAACAGGAGCCUUAAGUGCGUGGUCCUCAUGUCGGCACCGGAACCCAAGUAUUAAAAGGACACGCCGUGCCCACAGGUCCACCACGCGGCCGCCGCUUGGGCGUGGCGGUGCUUGUGUCUUUCAUGCCCUGAGCGGCAGGCAAGCAGGUUUCUUGGCCGAGGCACGGAGACGCUGCGAGGGCCCACCGAACGAGCUGCCUGGAGUGACGUCACGCACGAAGCGCGUACUGCAACCGGGCUCCAGCACUUCCCUCGGGACACAUUGCGCCACGUGGCGGGCGCCUGGCCUCGUGGCGCGCCAGCGCGUGCAAGCGCUGGCGUCCCACGCGCAUUCGUGACGCGCUGCGCUAAAGCGCACGGCUGCUCGAGGAAUCCGUGUGUCGCGGCUUCUGUUCCCUCCUCGUACAGGAUAAAUAUUGAAGAAUUUUUAACCAGUGCUUCCACAAACCCAAUCUCAAAAAGAGGACUACGCAUUCUCAGGUGCGCGCCAGUGACAACAGCACAUUUUCAUUGCAAGUUUGACAGCGCACAUCUCGAAGCCAGUGCCAUCCUGAGAAUUCAUUCCAAGCUUUGCAUACUCACUAGCUACAAUGAGUAGAUUGAGAGAUGUGCCAUGAAGUAAAUAAUUAAAAAUUAAUUAGCGUAAUCAUAUUAUUUAGCAAUUAAACAGCUUAUUUCUAGCAGAAGUAAUGGUAAUCGAGUAAUCUAUAUUAAGGUCAGCAUUGUGCUAUCUCUUACAGACAUUUUUUUAAAAUUUGGAGCAGCCAGAAAGAAAAAAAAAGAUCAACCUGUUUAUUACGUGCGUUCAAUAGCGCCUACCACAAGAGAAAUUUAUUUAUUUAUUUAUUUAUUUAUUUAUUUAUUUAUUUAUUUAUUUAUUUAUUUAUUUACUAGAGUGACACAUACCCAGUGACCCAAGUUGGCGUCAAGGAGGUUCACUGACGAAUAGGGAUUCUUUUCAGACUCGGAGGAAAGCAAAGCAGCGCAUACACAGUUACACACAACUGGCGACCCAAGUUCGCGUAAAAUACGUUUGUUAAAGAGUGGCCCGUACCCAUCGAAACACACCGAGUGACUCAAGUUGGGGUAAAACAGGUUUAUUGAGGAGCGGCUUAUCUUGUGGCGCAUGCCGACUUGAGCGUACCCAGUAACCCAAAUAGACAUGAAAGUGAUUAAUUAAAGAAAAGCACACACCUAGCAACACAUACCCCGUGAUCCAAGUGAGGGUGAAGCAGUAAAGCAUACCGUGUGACCCAAGUUUGCCCGGCGAUUGGUUUCGAACCCUCGUCACGGCAGCCUGGUCUAGGCUCUAACGCUUGGGCCGUAGUCUGUCCAGUGGCCUAGUGGCCCAAGUUGGUGGGAAAAUGGUUAGAGACACCGACAGACAGGUAGUUCCCGAAAAGUGCGCGAAGCACCCUGCAAAAGCACCCUGCAACCACACACACGAGAAUAACUAAUUUUUUCAGAUAAGCAUGCUGUUUUGUCGAAUGAUCAGUUCGGGUUCAGACCAAGAAGACCCACUGAGUUGGCACUGCUCAAGCAAAAGGCACUCAUCAUAAAUGCACUUGAAGAUAAGCUCCUUGUCCUCGGAAUUUAUAUUGACUUUUCCAAAGCCUUCGAUCUAAUCAAUCAUGACUUGUUAAUAAAUAAACUAAACCACUAUGGUAUAAGGGGGAUUCCUAAUUCUUUGAUACGGUCAUACUUUCAACAUCGUAAACAAAUAGCAGCACACAAGGAUGCGCUGUCUGAUGGCCAAUACAUAAAAUGGUGCGUGCCGCAAGGCAGCAUCUUAGGCCCUGUGUUAUGUUUAGUUUACUUAAAUGAUAUAUUUUACAAUAAGCCACCGGUGAACCUUACUGGCUACGCUGAUGACCUUACGGUGCUCAUUACGGGCAGAAAAGAAAAUGAAUUAUCCUCCAUAGGGAAUGAGUUUUUGCAAUACAUGUAUCAGUCGUCGCAGGAAAAUUACCUAAAGGUGAGCACAAGCAAAACUAAAGCCAUGGUAUUUCGAGCGAAAAACAAACUUGUAAAAUAUAUUAUGCUUACGUUUGGGGACAGCUAAAUUGAAAUAGUGCGCAGUAUCAAAUGUCUGGGAGUAAUCUUCUCGCAUUCGCUUAACUGGGAUGCCCAAAUUAAUAACAUACGAUCAAAAAUGAACAAAGUGAAUGGGUUGCUAUGUCAUCAAUGGUAUGUGUUAUCAACAAGAAUUAAACUAUUAUUCUACAACACAUUCUUAGUUCCAAUACUGAACUAUUGCCGCACUGUCUUGGGCACAAGUACGAAGCAUAAUUUAUCCAAGCUUAUUGUUACCCAGAAACGUGCGAUAAGGUUAGUUGCUAACAUACCAUGGUAUGCCCACACAGAAAACUAUUAUUUCGAGUUUAACAUCAUUCCAGUGCCUAAUCUCUAUGCCUUCAGGUUAAUUCUUAUGUACAAAAGUGCUCUUAGAACAAACAACGCAGAUGGGCAUGGCAGCAGCCUCAGCGGCAACAUGCUAAGGAAUCCCUUCUGUUUCGUACUGCAGGUUGUGGCAGUUCUGCUGCAAACCGAGCCAUCAUCAUGCGGUUGUUCUCCCGCUGCACCCCGCAGCAAUGAAAUCCUGGGGGCGUAUCCCAUGUCAUCGACACGUGCCGGUGACAUUUGCCUCGUGGAAGAUUCAUCGCCGCCAACUAUCAUCACUGCACCUAUGCGAACUGCGUCUACGUCGGACCACAUGACCCGCUUCCCCGCUAUAAAAGGCCAGACCACACCGAGCUUCACCAGUGGGCAUGGCAGCAGCCUCAGCGGCAACAUGCUGAGGAAUCCCUUCUGUUUCGUACUGCAGGUGUGCGACGCGAAGCUGAAUAUCCUGGCAAUUGACACAUGGUUUCCGGGAUCGUGCCACGAUUCUUUCGUCUGGAGGCAUUCUGCAUUUCGCAGCCGCCUUACUCGUGGCCUGUUACUUCAUGGAGAAGUCUUGCUUGGGACUCUGGGUACCCGCUAGCGCCAUGGAUCAUGACUCCUGUGCCUGGUCACCCAAAUCGCCUCACGGCAGAGGGGCGCUAUAAUGAGGCACACGCAUCCAUGCGAAAUGCCGUUGAGCGGUGCAUAGGAGUCGCCAAGAGCCGCUUCCGAUGCCUGCAGAGGUAUCGGGUGCUCCACUACUCGCCUCAGAAAGCAGCCACUAUUGUUCCAGCUUGUGCAGCGCUGCAUAACCUCUGCCUUGCAGCAGGCGUGCCUCUGCCAGACGACCCAGAUGACGACGGUGCACAUGACGACAGCGCACAGGGGCCAGCCCAGGCACAAGUGCCGCUUCAAGUGCAGGUGCCACCGCAGGCGCACCCUGUACAGCCUUCUCGAGCUUUGUUUCAAAGAUGCCGUGCGGUGCGCGAAUCCAUAGUUGGUGUAUUUCGGCUGCCCAGAAAUUUGCGCAUUCGCUGGCAAAUGAGGCGGAGACAUGUUCUGGUGUAACAUUUUUUAUUUUUCUUUUCAUGAAGUAAA